rnacentral:rRNA from 1 species
GAUGAACGCUGGCGGCGUGCUUAACACAUGCAAGUCGAACGGUGAAGCAGGAGCUUGCUCUUGUGGAUCAGUGGCGAACGGGUGAGUAACACGUGAGCAACCUGCCCCUGACUCUGGGAUAAGAGCUGGAAACGGCGUCGAAUACUGGAUAUGUGAUUUGACCGCAUGGUCUGCAGCUGGAAAGGAUUUCUGUUGGGGAUGGGCGCGCGGCCUAUCAGCUUGUUGGUGAGGUAAUGGCUGACCAAGGCAUCGACGGGUAGCCGGCCUGAGGGGGUGACCGGCCACACUGGGACUGAGACACGGCCCAGACUCCUACGGGAGGCAGCAGUGGGGAAUAUUGCACAAUGGGCGGAAGCCUGAUGCAGCAACGCCGCGUGAGGGAUGACGGCCUUCGGGUUGUAAACCUCUUUUAGCAGGGAAGAAGCGAAAGUGACGGUACCUGCAGAAAAAGCACCGGCUAACUACGUGCCAGCCGCCGCCGUAA